rnacentral:rRNA from 1 species
GACGAACGCUGGCGGCGUGCUUAACACAUGCAAGUCGAACGUGAUUUUUGUGGAAAUUCUUUCGGGAAUGGAAAUGAAAUGAAAGUGGCGAACGGGUGAGUAACACGUGAGCAACCUACCUUACACAGGGGGAUAGCCGUUGGAAACGACGAUUAAUACCGCAUGAGACCACAGAAUCGCAUGAUAUAGGGGUCAAAGAUUUAUCGGUGUAAGAAGGGCUCGCGUCUGAUUAGCUAGUUGGAAGGGUAAAGGCCUACCAAGGCGACGAUCAGUAGCCGGUCUGAGAGGAUGAACGGCCACAUUGGAACUGAGACACGGUCCAAACUCCUACGGGAGGCAGCAGUGGGGAAUAUUGCACAAUGGGGGGAACCCUGAUGCAGCGACGCCGCGUGAGCGAAGAAGGUUUUCGAAUCGUAAAGCUCUGUCCUAUGAGAAGAUAAUGACGUAUCAUA